rnacentral:rRNA from 1 species
CCCAAGAGAUCGGGAUAACACCUGGAAACAGAUGCUAAUACCGGAUAACAACAGAUGAUGCCUAUCAACUGUUUAAAAGAUGGUUCUGCUAUCACUCUUGGAUGGACCUGCGGUGCAUUAGCUAGUUGGUAGGGUAACGGCCUACCAAGGCGAUGAUGCAUAGCCGAGUUGAGAGACUGAUCGGCCACAUUGGGACUGAGACACGGCCCAAACUCUACGGGAGGCAGCAGCU